rfam:Gossypium raimondii Chr11_contig_45, whole genome shotgun sequence.
UGUUAAAAGUUUUAUCCAUUUCUAUUAUUAAAAACUAGCAUAGUUGACGAAAUAACCAAACAAACUACACGUGGUUUGCCAUGUGUACAACAUGUUGACACAUAGAAGCCAGUUUUUAAUAGUAAAAAUAAUGAAAUUUUUAAUA